rnacentral:tRNA from 1 species
GCUGGGGACAUAGCUCAGUUGGUAGAGUACUUGCCUGGCAUGCAUAAGACCCUGGGUUCAAUCGCCAGCAUAACA